AGAUGCUUUGACAGUACAAAUCCAGGCUUCAGAGGCUCUUCAAGGAUGGGUCCCACAGUUAUGUGAUCUGCUUGGAGCUGCAGCGACUCACGAGGCAGCCCACUCCUUUCCUGCAUGAGGCUUAGUAGCAGGAACCAGAAGACCUGGCUUCCCCCCUCCAGGCCUGCUGCUUGCUGGCCAUGCAACCUCCAGCAAGCUCCAGAAGAUUUGCAAGGAGGCAUGAGUUCGGGAGCCGGAGUGGAGAGGGGAAUGGAGCUGAACCACGCCACAUCCCCACAAAGACGUCAUCCUAAUCCCCAGGACCGGGGACUUACGAGGCAGCAGGGACUUGGCAAAUGUGACUAAACCAAAAACCUUGAGCUGGGAGACACCCUGGCUUAUGUGGUUGGAUGACACCCACGGUAACCACAGGGUCAUCGCCCAUGGGCCACCAUCCUCCCUGCCCUCGGACAGCAGCUCCCCUGCUUGGGGUUUGGACUGAAACUACACCCCCUUCCCAGAGGCAGGCAGGAGGGUCAGAUCAGCAGCAGGAGCUCACAGAUUCUGGGGUAGGUGAGGAAGGGGCCACGAGCCACAGAAUGCGCAGCCUCUAGAAAAAGGCAAGGAAAGGGAUCCUCCCCGACACCUCCAGAAAGAGCCGGCCCCCCGAAGGCUUGGUUCUAGACUUCUGACCUCCUGGACGGUCGGAGAAGGCAUUCGUGUUGUUUCCAGCUGCUGAGUGUGUGGUAAUUUGUCACACACUCCGCAGGAAACGAAUACAGAGGGAAGCCGGAACAGGGAGGAUGUAAAGCAGCUGGAGAAGAUACUGGGGACAGGCUCCCUCUGCUCCGGCUGCCCUAACGGAAUACCACUCGGGGGCUUAAACAGCAGCCGUCGCUGUCUCUCUGUCUGGAGGCUGGGAGUCUGAGAGCAAGGUGUCGGUGGGGCUGGUCUCCUCGGAGGUCUCUCUUCUUGCUGUGUAGACGGCCGCCCUCUGGACACACACUCCUGGCAUCUCCCUGUGUCCUAAUCUGUUCUUACAGGGACACCAGCCAGAUCAUGGGCCUCAUGGUAACGUGUCACCUCUGUAAAGACCUUGUUUCCAAAUACAGUCACAUUCUGAGGUGCUGGGGUGGGAUUGGGGAAUUAGGGCUUCAACAUGGGAAUUCGGGAGGCAUGUAACAGGGAGCCUCCAAGCCUGCCUCAUUCCCACCAGGCCCUCACUUUUCUGGCAGCUUCCAGACCUCCCUAGGGCCCAGCUUGAGCCCAGGCAGCCACUGCCUGUAGAACCAGUUGCAGCUGCCAGGAGAACCAGUUGAGGCAGGCCAGGGGGGCGUGGGUUUGGAGAAGGGACCAGGAUCCCUGAGGACUGGUGGUCAGGACAGGAUCUAGGCGCGGGGGUCCUAAGUUGGGCGUGAAGAACUCAGUCUCUCCCAGGCCAGACCGCAGAGUCCCUCUCCCAGUCCUGACGGGGGCCCCUGAAGGCGCCAGGGAACAAGCGGUGGUGGUAGGUGGCCAGCAGCAGGGUCAGGAGUUAGAUGUGCCCUGGUGACUCGGCUCUUUGCAGGGACAUUGACAGGGGAGGACUGGAAGAGCCAGGGGAGUGUGCAGUACUCAGCCCCCACUGCAGCCCAGGACUGAGAGAGGAGAGGUUUCUCCCAACACCACCCGGGCCCCUGACCACACCUGGCCCCAGAGCCUCAGGCAGCAGGAGUGACUCAGAGUGCCUUCCAGACUCCCUCCUCUCAGCCUCCACUUGGCUCCCACCAGUAUCUCUCCCCCCCGCUCCACCCCAUCAUCUCCCCAUCACCUCCCCCUCCUCCAGGCUGGGAUGGACUCCCUCCCUCCCACAAACUGCAGAGGCAGGUUUCAGACAGAAGACAGCCCAUGCCAGGUAUGCAAAUAGAGAAGACUCAAUACAAAUAGUUGCAUAAGGUAUAAAUUGCUACACCAGUGACUCAAAGGUAAAAAGAGAACUUUACAAUAUCACCCCCGAGGCAGAGGCAGAAAAGGGAACAGCUGCGAUUAUUAAAACAUAGACAUGUGGGCCUAGGACCUCAACCUCGGAGGGAGGGGGUCCAGCGGGUGCCAGUGUGUCUGAGGUGCCACAAAGUCGUUUUUACAAGUGUCGGAAAAGCCACCAAUGGGUUCAGCUCCCCACCUCGACCCUCUAUGAAACUAUAUUUCUACAGCUUCUUCAUAAAAGCACAAGUCACAGGCAUGCAGAAAGACCCACAUCCUCUGUGACACCUUCCUCCCGCUUCGCCCGUGGCCUGUGUCGGCCAAGGGCACAAAGUCUUGGAAUCUAAUAGGGCAUCGUGGAACCCAAUGCUGGCCCUUUUCCUGUCUCACUACUUCAGCUUGUGUGGUGGUUGAUCUUAGGUGUCAACCUCACAGGGCUGAGGGAUGCCCGUAGCUGGUAAAACACGAUUUCUGCCUGUGACUUCAAGGGCCUUUCUAGAAGUGAUUCACAUUUGAAUCAGUGGGUGAGGAGCGCAGAUCCCAUCCCCAUGGUGACGGACCCAUUUGAGGGCCCACAUGGAACCAAAGGGUGGAGGAAGGGGAAUUUACACUCUCUGUUGAGCUGGGACGUCCAUCUUCUCCGGCCCUCAGACAUUGAUGCUCCUGGUUCUGGGGCCUUCGGACUUGGACUGAAUGACCCCCCCUUACCCCAGCUCUCCUGGGCCUCCCAGAUGGAGGGACUUCUCAGCCUCCAAAAUCACCACGUUCUCUCUGGAACCUUGGGAUUUCCAUUGCCUGCUGUGAUUUAAAGCCAAAUCUGAGAAGACCAGAUCAUUCCAUUGCCAUGAACUGAUGAACUAGCCACACUUCAGCAUCCAGAGGGAGUUAUUAGAUCAGUGACCCAGUCCAGCCCAUGAGGGAGCUGCGUGGUAAAGGG